ensembl:snRNA U6 U6 spliceosomal RNA
GUGCUCACUUCAGCAGCACAUAUACUAAAACUGUAAAAACAGAGAAGAGUAGCACGGCCACUGCACAAGGAUGACACACAAAUUUGUAAAGCAUUCCAUUUUUAA